GUCCAGGGAUGGAAAUUGAACCCACAGUGUUCCGCUUACCGAGCAUAUUCCAUAUCCACUAGGCUACCCUGGA
rnacentral:tRNA from 1 species